rnacentral:rRNA from 1 species
GACGAACGCUGGCGGCGUGCUUAACACAUGCAAGUCGAACGGAAAGGCCCUGCUUUUGUGGGGUGCUCGAGUGGCGAACGGGUGAGUAACACGUGAGUAACCUGCCCUUGACUUUGGGAUAACUUCAGGAAACUGGGGCUAAUACCGGAUAGGAGCUCCUGCUGCAUGGUGGGGGUUGGAAAGUUUCGGCGGUUGGGGAUGGACGCGCGGCUUCUCAGCCUGUUGGUGGGGGGGUGGCUUACCAAGGCUUUGGCGGGUAGCCGGCCUGGGGGGGUGACCGGCCACCAUGGGACUGAGAUACGGCGCAGACUCCUACGGGAGGCAGCAGUGGGGAAUAUUGCACAAUGGGCGGAAGCCUGAUGCAGCAACGCCGCGUGCGGGAUGACGGCCUUCGGGUUGUAAACCGCUUUCGCCUGUGACGAAGCGUGAGUGACGGUAAUGGGUAAAGAAGCACCGGCUAACUACGUG